CCACUUUUUGGUGGUGGCACUAGGGUUAAGUAGCCGUGCUAUAGCAGUUCAAUGUUGCUGUUAGCAUUUUUCAGCAAAUGUUAACCUUUAUUUUGAUACCAGCCAUUGAUAACAGUUUGCAGAAAUAAAAAAGUUACAGGAAAUGAUAUGAUGCUAUAUUGAGUUAACACUUCUGACUGGGGAGCAAAAAUGGCAUAUCUUGUAAUAGUCCAUGUACCUUAUACACCCUUCACAGAGGUGGAGGAAAAGAAAGGAGAUACAUGUAUCAACAAGUCUGUAAUACAAACAAGAGAGGAAGAAAAUCAGCUAACAGUUGACAGUGGCAUUGCGAAUACCAAUAAACUAGAAAGUGAUCAAGAUAAAGAAGUUGGUGAAGAGGGAUCUGCAAACCUGACUGAUGCUGUUUCUGUAUCUAAUGAUGACGUGGAGGGUCCUGCCAAAGAAAACACUUCAAAGCAGAAUGAAGACACACCUAUACCUAAUGGGGAAGUAGAAAGACCAGCUGGAGAAAGCACUGAGGGAACAGAGGAAGAAAGUAUUCCAGGACAAGGCGAAUCUGAAACUGACAAAGAUACAAAUAUUGAAGGGAGUAGAGUUCUACAAAAUGAUAAAGAAGAUGAGUCAGAAGAAAAAAUUGGGAAAUGUGUAGAGCCUGAAAUAGGUGCUGGAAGGGAAGAUCCUGAAAAAGAUGUGAAAGAAGAUAAAGCCCCUGAGAGUCUCAGUGAGGAUGAUUUGCCCUUGACGCCAUUGUUCCAGAAAAUACCUAUACAUAGAAGAGUUGAACAAGAAUUGAUAAAGAUGGAAGUUAACAAUGUAGAUAUAAGAACAGUAGGAUGUGGAACAUAUCAAAAGUUUUCUUUUGUACAAAAUGACAGUAAGAGGUGUGAGCAGAUUCUCAACAGGCUAAAAGGUAUUGGUGUUGGUAUCACUGCAGGAUCUUCUGUUAGUGUGUUCCCAUCCAGUGUUCAUGAGUGGGUGGAGCCUGAGGUAGAAGACAAACUGACAAAUGUUGAAGGUGCUGAUGAAGAUUCUCCUGGAAAGAAAAAAGAGGAAAUCACUGUCAGUGAAGAACAGGUUCAUAAAGAAAGUCAGUUUAAGAAAUCAGUGAAGUCAAGACUUCUUGUGGCUCAGGUGGUGAAAUCGGUGAAAGCAAAUGCUCUGUUCACCUUUGAUUACCUUGUGUUACUGAUUUUGGCAAGUAUUAUAGCUUGUAUUGGUCUGGUUGAGAAUAGUUCUAGUUGUACUUGUGGCUAGUAUGCUGAUUUCUCCACUUAUGGGUCCAAUCUUGGCAGCAACAUUUGGUCAGGUUAUCAGAAAGAAAGAUUUACGAGACCUUGGCUUGAAGUCAGAGAUGAAAGGACUGGCUCUAUGUUUAGUAGUAGGAUUUACAUUUGGCCUAAUAUCUGGUGGU
rnacentral:misc_RNA from 1 species